ACACGCGAGAUGCUGGGGCUUCCCUGGCCCUGACUGGCUAGCCACAGGCAGGGCUGGCAGGAGAAGGCCACCGCCACCCUGCGUGUCCCAGGAGGGCACGGACAGUUGAGAGCACCCAUAGGAACGCCGCACAGUGAACGCAUGCAGGCCUCCAACCAUGGCCAGGGCCCUGCGGCGUGGCCCCGUGUCUACCUGUAAAGGUACUGGGACCCACCACCUGGCAAGGACCACGCCGGGCAGGAGGAGACCAGGAGGCGACAGUCAGACAGAGAAGCUGAAGAAACCAGAAGGCGUCUGUGCAAGAGAGCCCCACACAGACACUGGAAAGAACCAGGGCAACCUGCAGACCAACUCGAAAGACCUCCCCUAGGGCGACGGAAAUGAGAUGAGGCAAACAGCUUCCCGACCAGAGCCCAUGCACCUUCCACGUCUGUGCAGGGAGCUCGGGGCCACAUCCCGAGAUGGGAAAGACAACUGAGGCUUCCACAAAGAAAUUACAAUGAAACAGACACUGGCCAGGCCAGCUGAAAAUCAGUGACGGACUACGGUCCAAAUCGACGUGGAGGUUCCAACAAGAGAAGGACGGUGGUGGGGUCACCCUACCCCAGCCUGCGAGUGCCCCAGAGGGUGCACAAGCAGGACAGCCACCCUGUUGCAGAGUGUGGUGCUUUCACACCAUGUUCACCCCACCUCAGCCCUCUGGCCCAGACGUCGGUGGCUCCUCUGCCAGGUGAGGUGAGGUGAGGUGAGGUGAGGUGGGAGCAGACAGUGGAGAAACACCACAAACAGCACAGGUGGUCGGCCAGGGCCACGAGCCCUUCAGCUCACCGAUGCCGAGACCCCGCAAUCCCCACAACAAACCUGCAAGGUCAGAAUAAUUGCGCACAUGUACAGACGACUAAGCUGAGGCCCCUUCCUCCUCCACCUCCGGAAUGCCACCUGAGCGCAGAGGCUUUGGGACACAAAGCACUCAGCAGUCGGCAGUGGAGGCACAGCCUAGGAUCAAGACCCUGGGCUUCCUGUCCCAGGCUCCUCAACCUGCAGGCGGCCACACAGCAAGAGGACCCUGGGAAGUUAAAGAACGAGGCGCUCCUGCUUCCCCCACUCUCAACGGCCAGCAAGGACACAAAGGCAGCCCAGGGCAGGGCCAGCCGCCAGCCACAAGGCCCCUCCAGAACCCAAGGUCCAGUGGAGACUCCGAAAGGGCUGAUUGCAGGGCCCCCACGGGGUCCACACACCAGACACAGAGGCCCAUGCAGAAAGGCGGUAAGGGGCCCCCACGGGGUCCACACACCAGACACAGAGGCCCUGCGAGAGGGAGGCAUGGAGCGCCCGCGGUGUUGGCACACCAGGAUUCACAGCCCGGCUCUCCACCCCCAGCUGACCUCGCUGUGAAGAGAUGGUUUGUGCUGAGAGCUUAGCAAGGCCGUCGUCUACCGAGUGCUUCCCACCACAGCCCAUGCGCAGGCAUGAGAGUCAUGCCUCCCGCAGGCCACAGCUUCACUCAUGCAAGGACAUUCUGGGGGCCGGGACGUCCUAGCCAGUGGCUAGAACUGGGUGUGACCAUGGGCCCCCUUGGCUGGGGAGAAAAGGAGGUGCCCCUAGAUCCCAAGUCCCCUGGGGCCGCAGCAAAGGGAGGAGGACCUUGCAUCACUCCAGGGUGCCACGUGGACGAACAGAGGUAACAUUGGGAGUGUGGCUGGCAGUGUUGGACAUUCAGAACACGUCUGCCCAAAACAAACAUGGCCUUCACUUCUCCCAGCUCCCAGAAACAAAGUAAACAGAAGGAUCACGUCUGGACACCAGGGACCAGCCCGUUACAUCCCUGUCCCCCCCAGGCCAGAGCCUGACCACUCUGUGUCACCUGCCUCUACUCCUGUAGUGACUGUCAACUUUUUGGAUUUCAGAAAGCCAAACCAGCAAGGGAAGCCUUUUCCCGGGGGGUAGAGGUGUCUCUCCUACACACACCCCUACCCCAGGGUCUGAGAUGACAUCCCAAAUCAAACCCGGUAUUCUGCAGAGAUACACAAAGGUUCAAACUACAGACAGCCUUGUAUCAGCUGUAAAGGGGGGCCAGAUUUUGCUGCAAAAGAAAAAACCCAGUAUCCCCUC
rnacentral:antisense_RNA from 1 species